GCAGUAGCCACGGUAAUACGAAGGGUGCAAGCGUUACUCGGAAUUACUGGGCGUAAAGCGUGCGUAGGUGGUGGUUUAAGUCCGUUGUGAAAGCCCUGGGCUCAACCUGGGAAUUGCAGUGGAUACUGGGUCACUAGAGUGUGGUAGAGGAUAGUGGAAUUUCCGGUGUAGCAGUGAAAUGCGUAGAGAUCGGAAGGAACAUCUGUGGCGAAGGCGACUAUCUGGGCCAACACUGACACUGAGGCACGAAAGCGUGGGGAGCAAACAGGAUUAGAUACCCGCGUAGUCCCUGUCUCUUAUAC
rnacentral:rRNA from 1 species